rnacentral:lncRNA from 1 species
AACAGAAGAUAACAGGCAACUUGCACAGUGAGUGAAUUUGAGUGGGUACAAUAUAACAUAAGCCAAAUUCUAAAAAGUAGAAUAACAACCCACUCAAAUCCAAAUUCUUCUCAUGGUACACAAUCAGAGGAAAACAGAAGAUUACAGGCAACUUGCACAGUGAGUGAAUUAUACACAUCACUCCGACAGUUAGAAACAACUUGCAUGUUAUGGUAGGUUGGCAAACCAGCACCCUGGAUCUGGACCACUAUACUGCUGCUCUACAUUCAGUCACCGUUAGACCUGCAGGAACAGACAACCGAUCUAUUAUGAAGCUGAUCCAAUGAACUGUAUAAAACAUUGUUCAAAGCAAACUUUUAAGAGCAAGAAGCACAUAGAAAGUGGGAAUACGACAAAAUCUUCUGAGAUGGUCCACCUAUUUAUCUUUAGCAAAUCAUAUGGGCCUAUUGGGACUGAUUUAGAUGCGGAAAUAUCAUUUAACCACAUCAUCAAGUGACAUGUUAGGCUCUAGCAAUGGUUAUUGUGAUAGGCAGUAACUCUACAAAAACCAAGUACAACCCACCCAUGUGUGUCUUUUAUGGAUAUAUACAUGACUAUGAACAUAUGCGUAAAGUACUAUGAAUGCAUAUGUAUGCACAAGGCAGGGCUUUACCGUGUGACCCAGCUUCUUGUUCUUCAAAGGAAAAAAAGACUCUUCUAAAGCCAUGUAAUGGUGUAACCAACAAGUGUUCUUUUUUUUUUUAAUGACUACCGCACAAGCUCACUGACCCUGAGCCGAGCACUUAGCUUGCCACUAGAGUCAUUUAGGUACAGUAUACACCCUUAAUACGUGACUCGAAAAAAAAAGAAAGUGAUUACAAAGCAAAUAUGUAUCAACCAGGAACUAAAUGGUGAACAAAGAAACAUUUGCACUAGUGUUGAAUUUGUAAAAGUGCCUACUUGUCCUUUCCACUACUUCAGCAACAUCCAAUUCAGUCUUUUGGCUAUGCAAUUCCAUUCGUCACC